AAUGUAGGCGGUUUUGCAAGUCAGAGGUGAAAUCCCUCAGCUUAACUGAGGAAGUGCCUUUGAAACUGCAUAACUAGAGGACAGGAGAGGAAAGUGGAAUUCCCGGUGUAGCGGUGGAAUGCGUAGAUAUCGGGAGGAACACCAGAGGCGAAGGCGGCUUUCUGGACUGAUCCUGACGCUGAGAUUCGAAAGCGUAGGGGAGCAAACA
rnacentral:rRNA from 1 species